rnacentral:lncRNA from 1 species
CCCCCGUGGCCUUGGUGGUUCACAUGGCCCCAGCAUCUGUGCUUGUGGACAGCAGGUACCAGCAGUGGAUGGAGAGGUAUGGAGCCCAGCCCAGCGGCACUUGGGGUUUGGGCCUGACACCCAGCACUUGGUCCUGAAUGAGAACUGUGCCUCAGUUCACAACCUUCGCAGCCACAAGAUUCAAACCCAGCUCAACCUCAUCCACCCGGACAUCUUCCCCCUGCUCACCAGUUUCCGCUGUAAGAAGGAGGGCCCCACCCUCAGUGUGCCCAUGGUUCAGGGUGAAUGCCUCCUCAAGUACCAGCUCCGUCCCAGGAGGGAGUGGCAGAGGGAUGCCAUUAUUACUUGCAAUCCUGAGGAAUUCAUAGUUGAGGCGCUGCAGCUUCCCAACUUCCAGCAGAGCGUGCAGGAGUACAGGAGGAGUGCGC